UCCACUUGUCGGCUUGCUGCUGCGGAUGAAGACGGUUCCGGGAACGGAAUUGAAAGGGAGGCGCGAGUGCUUGUUCAGAUUCAGACCCCCCCCUUUUUUUUCAGGGGUGUGGUCCUAAUUAUUUCUCUUAAAAAGCCGCACCAGCAAGUACAUCCGGUCUUUUAUCGGUCUCUGUUGGUCCCAGAAGAACUGGCUUGUCCACUCCGACAAUCAGAAUAUCCCCCACUGGAACAACAUGACGCUGACAGCUCUCCCAAGUAUGAGAUCGCCAAUAUUUGAGACUCCCGAUGGCUGAAAGGGCAAUUUCAGUAUUUGAUUGAGUGGAAGGGCUAUGGACCGGAGUUGUUCACCUGGGAUGAUGCGACCACUGUCCAUGCUCCUACCUUGGUGACAGCGUUCCACGAACAGUUCCCUUCACGAUCGCAUCCUGCCCGGCAGACCCGGGGAAGAGUCCUGUGGUGCUGGAUAGUGUUGUGAUUCGUCACCAGCCUGUGGAUCUGGCACUGAGGAAUCAGAUGAGGAGGAGGGGCCUGGAGUGACAUUAGAGUCAGAGGAAAGCUCUGAGGAGCUCUAAGACUUAUAGUCAGAUGACCCUGGCCCCUCCACUAGCGCUCAUGCUGAGACACAGCUGUGCUGGGAGCCUGAGUUGACAGUAAUGCAGAACAGUUGGGAAACAUCCAGGAUGCAAAAAAGGCGCAGGCAAGAGAAGCGAGUAGAACAGAGGAGUGCAAUGGGGUGGCUCCAAAGGAAAAGGCAUUAAGAAGCCACACUUUGGCUGAAUUAUAAAAGGGAAGGUGUGGGAGGUUCUGGUUGCCGAAGGCAACCGUUCGUGUUGAGGAUCAAGUUUCUGUGAACUGUGUUUGUUUGCUUUGGACAUUGACUCAGGUCUGUGAGAAUAAACAGGGUUGGUUUUUUCUUGCGGUUUCUACCUGCUUGUUGGAAGAGGGGUUUCUCCUUGUGAGCACAACAAGGACUCUCGUAGGCUGGGACAGAACACCAUCCUUAUUCACAACAUACAUACAGGCAACAUACAUAGUACAAAAGGAAUAGGAUUUGCCAUUUGUGGGUGUGCUUGUCUCUCAGGAAAUUAUUAAGAUUAUUGAAUAAAACAGUUCUCUUAGCUCACUGUUGUAAUUGUAGCUUUGCUGAGUUGCAUGUAUUGUUCUGAAAACAAUAGAAUCACAUUCCUUAUAUUGACAGCAAAAGUCAUAGUUAUGAAAGAAAUCUAGAUAACAAAUUUGGACACUUUGGCUAGAAAUGAUUUCCAGUUUAUUGGGGGAUAAUGCCAAUGCAUCUAAGACUGAAAGUAUUUGGACAUACUUUGCACAUUAAUUAAU